UACGUAGGGGGCUAGCGUUGUCCGGAAUCAUUGGGCGUAAAGAGCGUGUAGGCGGCCCGGUAAGUCCGCUGUGAAAGUCGGGGGCUCAACCCUCGAAUGCCGGUGGAUACUGUCGGGCUAGAGUGCGGAAGAGGCGAGUGGAAUUCCUGGUGUAGCGGUGAAAUGCGCAGAUAUCAGGAGGAACACCGAUUGCGAAGGCAG
rnacentral:rRNA from 1 species